CAAAUCACUGUUCUUCCUUCUUCAUCGUCCAUCUUUGCAAAGUGGCAAUCGUCGAACAAAGCUCCAUAUUGGCGUCCUUUCUGUAAUUUUUUGCUUAAAAUAUAUAUUUGAUUAUUUGUUAGUGAUUAUUAGCAGACUUUGUUUUCAUUUGUGCAAUAUUGUACAAGAUAUUAACUCUAAAUUGCCUAGUUCUUAUUUUAUCAACUUCCACAUAAAUACAGACAAUGAGCCGUCACCGUGAAUGGGACCCGUCCUGCAAAGUUUACGUGGGUAACUUGGGCAACAAUGCAUCCAAACAUGAGUUGGAGGAUGUAUUCACAAAGUAUGGACCACUAAGAAAUGUAUGGGUGGCCAGAAAUCCUCCUGGUUUUGCAUUUGUCGAGUUCGAAGACCCCAGAGAUGCCGAGGACGCCGUCAGAGGACUGGAUGGAACACGUUGCUGUGGCACACGUAUUGUUGUGGAAAUGUCAACUGGCAGACGUCGGAGCGGAGGUGGUGGGGGAAGGGGGGCCAGAAGGAGUCCAAUCAGAAGGAGCGAACUUGAAUCUGCUUGCUCAGCAAAACUACUUGAAAAACAACUUCUACAACAACUACUACUCCUACUACCACCAUCACCACAUCCACCGCCAUCCUUCGUCGGGCUUCUUCUUCUACUUGCUCUUCUUCUACUUAAUCUUCUUUAUCAGCCGCCCUGAAGUGCACAACUCUAAACUCUCUUAACACCCCAAUUGAAAACCACCAACCAACCAACCAUCACAAGGUUGUUGCACCAAGCCACUAUCAUGUCAACCAACUACCGCCCGUCCGCCCGCCCGUCUAAGCGCUCGCCCAUCAUACAACCAACACAACCAACAACCAUCGCUCCACCACUUUGUAAAUUAGGUCGCGCUCGCCGUAUGCUCGUCGUCGGUCUUCGAUGAGUCGCUCGAGGUCUCGCAGCCCUGUGCGCAGGUCCAGAUCCUAUUCCAGGGACCGCCGAUAAUUUUAUGACGAUACAUCUGCAUUAUUGAGUACGUGUGUUGAUGAAGCAAGAAGAUUUUUAUUAUGUGUGAGCAUUUACUCUGAAUUUUGUAUUUAUUUGGAGUACGGUAUCCAUCUUAAUUAGAAGUUUUAUUGAACAAAGUGAACUAUUCCCAAUAUUAAGCUAUUAUUAUAAUGAAUUAGAUUGAUGUUUCAGUAGAAAAAUUUCGUCAUAAAGUAUUUGAACACAAUACAUAUGUGUUUCUAAUGAAAUCCCUAUAAUCGUAUUUUGCUGUGUAUCAAAGCUUUUAGAUUAAAACUUGGUCGGGCACUGUUUUAACCUAGUGAUUAUUCAGUUUAUUUGCUAACUUAUCAGUAGGCCUAAGUCUAUAAGCUACAACUGCUUUUAUGUUUAUAAUAUAAUUAAUAAAGACUGUUUAAGCACACA